AGAACGAACGCUGGCGGCAUGCCUAAUACAUGCAAGUCGAACGAACUCUUCGGAGUUAGUGGCGCACGGGUGCGUAACGCGUGGGAAUCUGCCCCUUGGUUCGGAAUAACAGUUGGAAACGACUGCUAAUACCGGAUGAUGACGAAAGUCCAAAGAUUUAUCGCCAAGGGAUGAGCCCGCGUAGGAUUAGCUAGUUGGUGAGGUAAAGCUCACCAAGGCAACGAUCCUUAGCUGGUACUGAGAGGAUGAUCAGCCACACUGGGACUGAGACCACGGCCCAGACCUCCGUACGGGAGGCAGCGAGUAGGGAAUAGUUGGAACAAGUGGGACGAAAGCCCUAGAGUCCCGAAGACCAAGUGCCGACGUGAGU
rnacentral:rRNA from 1 species